GACGAACGCUGGCGGCGUGCCUAAUACAUGCAAGUCGAACGCUGAAGGAGGAGCUUGCUUCUCUGGAUGAGUUGCGAACGGGUGAGUAACGCGUAGGUAACCUGCCUGGUAGCGGGGGAUAACUAUUGGAAACGAUAGCUAAUACCGCAUAAGAGUAGAUGUCGCAUGACAUUUGCUUAAAAGGUGCAAUUGCAUCACUACCAGAUGGACCUGCGUUGUAUUAGCUAGUUGGUGAGGUAACGGCUCACCAAGGCAACGAUACAUAGCCGACCUGAGAGGGUGAUCGGCCACACUGGGACUGAGACACGGCCCAGACUCCUACGGGAGGCAGCAGUAGGGAAUCUUCGGCAAUGGACGGAAGUCUGACCGAGCAACGCCGCGUGAGUGAAGAAGGGUUUCGGAUCGUAAAGCUCCGUUGUAAGAGAAGAACGAGUGUGAGAGUGGAAAGUUCACACUGUGACGGUAUCUGACCAGAAAGGGACGGCUAACUACGUG
rnacentral:rRNA from 1 species